GUACUAAUAGCUCAAGUUAGAGCACCAGUCUUGUAAACUGGAUGUUGAAGGUUAAAGUCCUUCUUAGUGCU
rnacentral:tRNA from 1 species